rnacentral:rRNA from 1 species
AUUGAACGCUGGCGGCAUGCCUUACACAUGCAAGUCGAACGGCAGCGGACCUUCGGGUGCCGGCGAGUGGCGAACGGGUGAGUAAUAUAUCGGAACGUACCUUUCAGUGGGGGAGUAACGUAGCGAAAGUUAACGCUAAUACCGCAUAUUCUGUGAGCAGGAAAGCAGGGGAGUCGCAAGACCUUGCGCUGAUUGAGCGGCCGAUAUCAGAUUAGCUAGUUGGUGAGGUAAAGGCUCACCAAGGCGACGAUCUGUAGCGGGUCUGAGAGGAUGAUCCGCCACACUGGAACUGAGACACGGUCCAGACUCCUACGGGAGGCAGCAGUGGGGAAGUUUU